UACGGAGGGUGCAAGCGUUGUCCGGAUUUAUUGGGUUUAAAGGGUGCGUAGGCGGCUUUUUAAGUCAGUGGUGAAAGCCGAUCGCUUAACGAUCGAACUGCCAUUGAUACUGAGAGGCUUGAGUAUAGUUGAGGUAGGCGGAAUUGACAGUGUAGCGGUGAAAUGCGUAGAGAUGGGCAAGAACACCAAUUGCGAAGGCAGCUUACUAAAGUAUAACUGACGCUGAGGCACGAAAGUGUGGGGAUCAAACAGG
rnacentral:rRNA from 1 species